GUAGCUGGUAUUUCACAACCCAGGAAUCUGACAACUUAUGUUGGUUAGACCAUGGUGCUGAUAACACCAAGGUUGCAGGUUCGAUCCCUGUAUGGGCCAGCUGCA